CAGCCAAACAAUAUAACAUGAAUGGGAUCAGCCAGGGAAACAUAACAUGAAUGGGAUCAGCCAGGGAAACAAAAUAACAUGAAUGGGAUCAGCCAGGGAAACAUAUAACAUGAAUGGGAUCAGCCAGGGAAACAAUAUAACAUGAAUGGGACAUUAUAUUGUAGACUUGAGCGGGGGCGUCACUUUGUUGAACUUAUUUUAUUGAUUAUAUCGUGUCAGGGAAGCUUAAUCAAGUCCAGUAGUAUUUGAACCCAGCUCUGGUCACCAGAGCAUAAUAUUCCAUGAUGAGCACAUCAUGAUUGUUUUUCUAUGGCGUUAAAUUACAGCAACAACAAAAACAACAUUCUGGCACUAAUUUAACUCCACAUCUCCUCGUAUCCACCAUGGGUACUAACAGUGGGUGUGUUCAUAAUGAACACAGCUGAGCUGGAGAUGUUGAAACAUUAAACAUCAGGGCUGCUGAGUUAAUGUUAGUGAUCGUGUGUUACAGGAACACGCCUGUAAAGUGAUUAGGAAAACACAUAUCAGCGUACUACACGCUACCACACUCUUACACGCUACUACACGCUACCACACUCUACUACAUGCUACUACACGCUACCACACUCUACUACAUGCUACCACACUACUACACGCUACUACACUCUACUACACGCUACCACACUCUACUACACUCUACUACACUCUACUACACGCUACACCAGCACACUGAACAGUACGGGUCCAAAAUGGUACCCUAUUCAACUAGGGCCUCUGGUCUAAAGUAGUGCACUAUAUAGGGAAUAGGGUUCAGUCAACGGCUUCCAGUCAACACUUUUCUCAAAGGUAAAUGAAAACGCCCCAAAGUUGUGAUUGGUUAAAAUAUCUUAAAUAAAAUGUAUACCUCUAUUACUGUCAAUGUAGAUUGUUUCAAAGCUUCUCUGUGCUAUUUUAUUCAAACUCCACUUGCAAUGUCAUGUGACACCACUGAGGUGCACCAUGACUACCAUGCCAUGUGGCACCAUGACUACCAGGCCAUGUGACACCACUGAGGGGCACCAUGACUACCAUGCCAUGUGGCACCAUGACUACCAUAUCAUGUGACACCACUGAGGUGCACCAUGACUACCAUGCCAUGUGACACCACUGAUGGGCACCAUGACUACCAUGCCAUGUGGCACCAUGACUACCAUGCCAUGUGGCACCAUGACUACCAGGCCAUGUGACACCAAUGAGGGGCGAACUGGAGAACUGGCCGAGAAGGCAG
ensembl:lncRNA